rnacentral:rRNA from 1 species
UACGUAGGGUGCGAGCGUUAAUCGGAAUUACUGGGCGUAAAGCGUGCGCAGGCGGUGAUGUAAGACCGAUGUGAAAUCCCCGGGCUUAACCUGGGAACUGCAUUGGUGACUGCAUCGCCCGAGUAUGGCAGAGGGGGGUAGAAUUCCACGUGUAGCAGUGAAAUGCGUAGAGAUGUGGAGGAAUACCGAUGGCGAAGGCAGCCCCCUGGGUCAAUACUGACGCUCAUGCACGAAAGCGUGGGGAGCAAACAGG